UACGUAGGGUGCGAGCGUUAAUCGGAAUUACUGGGCGUAAAGCGUGCGCAGGCGGUUUUGUAAGCCAGAUGUGAAAUCCCCGGGCUUAACCUGGGAAUGGCAUUUGGGACUGCAAGGCUUGAGUGCGGCAGAGGAGACUGGAAUUCCUGGUGUAGCAGUGAAAUGCGUAGAUAUCAGGAGGAACACCGGUGGCGAAGGCGGCCAACUGGACCAGUACUGACGCUGAGGCGCGAAAGCGUGGGGAGCAAACAGG
rnacentral:rRNA from 1 species